AAAGAUCUCAUCCCAGCCGUAGCUGUGCCAGUCAUUGGUCCACGAAGGAUUUUCUGAUUGAAUCUUCAGCUCAUCUUGACUCAGCUUGCUAUUUUUUUCAACUCCCCGAGAACAAUCCUCAAUAUGUUGGCUUGAUACAUUCUGUUCGUAAACCUCAGCUUGGCUUGAUACAUUCUGCUCGCAAACCUCAGCUUGGCUUGAUAUAUUUGUCAUCCAAUCCUCAGCUUGGCUUAAUACAUUCUGGUUAGGAUCCUCGUACGCACAAACCUCAGAGUGGGUUGAUGUGGUGACGGAGUCAGCAGGA
rnacentral:lncRNA from 1 species